rnacentral:lncRNA from 1 species
AUUGGCUGGGCCCCUCCCUUUUAGCCUUCUACUGGGCCUUCUUCGCAAUGGUCCUCCUCACCUUGAUAAGGUCCUUGAAGGCUUUCUUCGAUGGCAUCAUGGCAACAAAAAAGGCAAGAAGUUCUUAUAGGAACUAUAAGAGGGAAGAUAGCUGAUGAAAUCCACGCCAGCCAUUGGCCCCUUUUAUAGGCACGAGCACCCAUACCAACCACCAAUCGUUUGGAUCAUAAAUGGCGUGGCCACCCCCUAGAUCUAAAUGGCAUGCCUCAACCUUGAAAGUCAAUUCGAAUGGGCUUCGCAGACCGAAAUACGUCCAUGUGGUGCACUCCUAUAGGCCUAAUACCCCUUUCCAUACUUCAUCCCAUCGGAAGGAGUAGCGACCAUCAUUCCCCAUGGUUGUCGCUCACUCUGGUCAAAUUAGCCUUGAAUACAUCAAGAGUUAUGAGGCAUCAGAGUAUCCUCUAUAAUUAAUGCAUGGGAUGUCUGAUGGAAAGAGCACUGAGGAGUCCUCAUCGAAAAUGAAGGGUCUCCCAAACAAGAAUAGACUGACAACAUCAAAUUGCACUACAUAACAAAGGAAAAGGCAACAUAAGAUAAGUGUUCGCCAUUGCAUUUAUGUAACUUAUCAUGAUGACAGGAACAUCAUCACCCCA